rnacentral:rRNA from 1 species
UACGUAGGGGGCAAGCGUUGUCCGGAUUUAUUGGGCGUAAAGAGCGUGUAGGCGGCCAAACAGGUCCACUGUGAAAACUCGAGGCUCAACCUCGAGAGGUCGGUGGAAACCGUCUGGCUAGAGUCCGGAAGAGGAGAGUGGAAUUCCCGGUGUAGCGGUGAAAUGCGCAGAUAUCGGGAAGAACACCCGUGGCGAAGGCGGCUCGCUGGGACGUAACUGACGCUGAGACGCGAAAGCGUGGGGAGCGAACAGG